rnacentral:rRNA from 1 species
UACGUAGGGUGCAAGCGUUGUCCGGAAUUAUUGGGCGUAAAGAGUUCGUAGGCGGUUUGUUGCGUCGGCUGUGAAAUCCCGAGGCUCAACCUCGGGUCUGCAGUCGAUACGAGCAAACUAGAGUGUUGCAGGGGAGACUGGAAUUCCUGGUGUAGCGGUGAAAUGCGCAGAUAUCAGGAGGAACACCGGUGGCGAAGGCGGGUCUCUGGGCAACAACUGACGCUGGAGGAGCGAAAGCGUGGGGAGCGAACAGG